AACCCUAGUUCAAGAAAUCAAGCAAUCCAAUCCAAAUUCAUAAGCUAAUUUAGUGCAUGAUCCCUAAAUUGUGAUUAGCUAACCCUAAUCUCUUAAGUGGCGUAAAGGAAGAAGGUACAAGCACCAAGAAAACGGAAGGAGCGCAAGAUCGAGGUAAAACUCCGCUAUAGGCGAUUUGGAGAUAUGGAGCGAGCACGUGUUCAAGCCUUAUUAUACCAAGCGCUUCCGCUAGUUUAUAUGCAUACUUUUGGGUCCAUGUCUUGUUACUUU